UCUCCGUAGGUGAACCUGCGGAAGGAUCAUUACCGAGUGAGGUUUUUCCAGUCCCGACCUCCCACUCUGUGUUUUUUUGACCCUGUUGUCUUGUCGGGCCCGCGCCGAUGAGAGGCCGCCGGAAGCUCACCGCUUUUGGCACGUGUCUAUUCGUAGGCCCCUUAAAUUAUAAAUAAAACUGUUGUCCGAGUUAACGCAUAUAAUGAAAAUAAACUUUCAACAACGGAUCUCUUAAUACUGCACCGAUGAAGAACGCAGCAGAUCCGAAGAGUCGAAGGC
rnacentral:misc_RNA from 1 species